rnacentral:rRNA from 1 species
UCCGCAACGAGCGCAACCCCUGCAUUCAGUUGCCAUCGGGUAAUGCCGGGCACUCUGGAAGGACUGCCAUCGACAAGAUGGAGGAAGGUGGGGAUGACGUCAAGUCAUCAUGGCCCUUAUGUCCAGGGCGACACACGUGCUACAAUGGCCGGCACAACGGGAAGCGAGUUCGCGAGGACGAGCGGAUCCCUCAAAGCCGGUCGCAGUUCGGAUUGAAGUCUGCAACUCGACUUCAUGAAGCUGGAAUCGCUAGUAAUCGUGGAUCAGCCAAGCCGCGGUGAAUACGUUCCCGGGCCUU